rnacentral:lncRNA from 1 species
GUUAAAUACUAAGGUAAUAAUAGUUUGUGCAAAAUGAACUUUUUAAAAAAUCUUAUCAAGUUAUUAACUGAGGAAAAUGAUAGUAAAUUAAUAUUACUACAGCAAGAGCUAUGGCAGUUUGAGUGAUUCAUGGAUGACAAAAAUGACCACUUUUAAGGAUCAUAAUUUUAAAUUUAUAAUAUGUUAUUUACUGUGAUUGGAGGACAUUGGAGUGGGUAAAUAUGAAGUAGAAUGAAAUGAAUAAAUGAGAAGUAGGCAGAAUUAUGUCUAAGACAAAUAGAUUCUCUAGUGAACAGAAAAAAAAGCUUACUUUAGAAAUAUUUUAAGUAAUAGAGAAAGUUCAGUAGAGAUCUCUGGUGCCAUAGAAAAUCAAUUGAUGAUUUAAUAUUGAGCACCCGAUAUGUACCCAUCUUUGUAAAGAAAUUUAAACAUAGGCAUAUUACAAUAAACAUUUAACAUGGCAUAUGUAGACAAAUAACAGGAGUUCUUAUUCCUUAAAGAUUAAGAAAAACCCACUUAUGUGAAAAGUUUCAAUGUAUCUCCCCCUUUUUUUUAAUAGAUGACUUUAUAUAUUAAGUCCUUUGUAUUCAUUAACUCAUAAUGAUCCUUAACAAAAACUCAGGGGGUCAGCUAGGUGGCAAAAUAGAUAGAGGAUUGGCCCAGAAGUCAGAAUCUGAGUUCAAAUGUGGUUUCAGACUCUUAACACCUACCUCAUGCAAAAAUAAUAAUAAUAAUAAUAACUAAGUAGUUGUUUGUUUUUGGUCUGGAUAUGUGAUUUUAUCAAUAAGAGAACCUUUAGUAUAAAAUCAUCUCCUUUGAUGCAGAUCAGUAACUUUUCUCUAACAAGGUCUUGUAGUGCUUGGUGCACUAAUGAGCUAAUUGGUUAUCAAUAUCUUCUUGACUACAAGACCAAACCUCUUUCCACCCUUAAAAGUUAGUAGUUCAAAUAGUUUUGUCAUCUUUUUAUGAAAAUUGAAAUGGCCCUAGAGAAGUUGUGAAUUGUCCAAAAACAUAGAGGUAUUACAAAAUAUCAGAGCUGGGCUUCAAACCCAAGUAUUCUAAUUCCACUGUAUGCUUUCUUUCUUAAGCUGAGUUGAUUUGCUGUCUGUAGGGUAAUUGUCCAGGCAAAUUAAUUAGCAGUUAAACAAACAAAUUACUCCCAAAUUUAUUCAUACUAAUUUAUUUUAGUAGUUUGAUCAAACUUUCAUUUGACUUAAUAACUAAACAUUUUAAAAUUACAUCUCUUUUUUUUAUUAAUAACUUAACAAACUUUAACAUUUUAAUUAAAAGAACAUUUUAUAUGAAACUUAGCUUAUGGGUUAGUAUGGAAAUAACAUAGUGUGACAGAUAAAGAAUCAGUCUCUCUGAGCCACUGAGCUUAGUUCAUCUCCUCCCUCUGCAUUACUAGUUUGGUGACUCCUUGACAAAUCACUUAACUUUUCAGUGUUCUUAAGAAAAUCAUAAGAACUGUAGGUUACUGAUAAUAUGCUGAAAUGCAUUUCUAGAGAGAGCAUCCUCAUGCAGAUCAGUUUUGUAUAUCAAUAAAAUCACAGUUUCAGCCCUUAUCUAUUUAAUAUUAUAGUAGCAAAAAUGGUCUGCCAGCUAUUAAUUGUUGAUGGGCUAUAUGCGCCAAUAAAAUAUCUCAGGUAGCAGAUCUUAGUGUCCUUCAGAACUUCCCAUCCACUCACUCUGAAAAUAGCACAAACGGUCCUAAAAUCUUCUUGAAAAGUAUAACCCCAGAACCCUUAACAUUGAAAUAAUAAGCUUCCUCCCCCCAUUUAUCAUAAGAACUUACUUUUCAUAACUGAUUUUGUUUUUGUUUGUUUUUUUAUUUUUAAAUAAAAUUUGGGCUGAGCAUUUUCAUUCCUAUCACAGAUUAUAGGCAGGACAGAAACUGAGGCAAGAAAUUCUAAGGUCAAAUAAUUUUUGAAUUGCUUUGGUAAUAAAGCUGACUCAUUUAUUAAUGUCUGGUUAGAAUCAAUAAUGCAAGGUACUUAGAAAUGAUUGCCUAAUAAUUUUGAAAAUUCUUAUUUCUGUUUCACCAUGAAAAAUGAACUUAGAUAUUUUAAUUUGAGAUUUUAUUUUAUAAAAGUAUUGAUCAAGAGACUUGAACUAUUGAGCUAUUAAAUAAGUGUGAUUGUUUUAUAAAUCACUCAAGACUCUCCAAUUCUCAUGUUCCUUCCCUGUAAAGAAUGGGGGUGAAAUGAUAUGAGUUCUCUGGUGCCUUCCAAUUCAAAAUGUCUCUAAUUUUAACAAAUUAAAAUUUUGUGAAAUUGAAAUUUUUGAAAUGUUCUCAACAGGCAUGUUUUGAGGUAAGUUGAUUUUUUUUUUCAAAUGGAAUGAAGUAAAAUUGCUGCAUUAAAUCACCUUUUGCUUCUAAAUCUGGCUUAAAUAAAACAUGAGUGUAAAUAUAUAUUUACAUAUUUUGGGAAGUAUUAUUAAAUUUUUAAAAUGAUAACUUUGAUGAUUUUAGCCUAUAUUCAGAGCAGUACAUUAUUUAUAUGAUUAUAGAAUUUUAUAACUUAAUGAAAACUUAAAGAUCAUCUCAUCCAAGCCCUUUUACUAAUACUCUCAAGAGGAAAAGUUUAAGUUUGAGAGAAAUGAAGUCAUAUAGGAAGUAAACUUCAUUUGCCUUUCUUCUACUUUUGUCCCAGGUUUGAUGCUGACUUAAAAUUAAAGAUGAAUUCUGAUAGCUUUAUAGUUUGUAAUUAUCUAAUGUAAUUUACAGUGUUCAUUGUGAUGCUUGCUUUGAUUGUAUGGUGCUAAAAAAUUGGCUGUAAGCUUUUCUUAGUUCACAUCAUCUUUGUUGAGUUUUGUUUUCUGUUCAUAAGUGAUUCUGUGCUAAUUCCAGGAUGAGUGAAUUUUUUUAGGGUCAUUCUUAUUUCUGAGAUGUUUUGCUUCUCAGAAAUUUGUUUUUCCUUCUGAAGACAAUGUGAAUACUACUAAAUAGAUGGCCAGCCAAUCAAAGUCUAUUAUUAUUUCUCUAGAAUAUAUUGGAAAUUACAUAGUUUUCCAGAGCAUAAAAUCACAGGUACAAGUUAGGAGGAACAUCAGAUAGCAUGUCUCCUGCCUCUUGAGGUCUGGGGAGAUAAUAUGACUCCUCUAAAGUUAGGCAGUCAGUUAGUAUUUGAACCCAGUUCCUGAUUACAAUUCCACUUUUAGUUUCAACUUUACCAAAUUGCUUGCUGUAAUAUUAUUUUCUGUAGAAAAAGUUCAUAAUAAGGUGGGCCCAUUUUUGACUUUCAUUGAGUUGUGG